rnacentral:misc_RNA from 1 species
UCUCCGUUGGUGAACCAGCGGAGGGAUCAUUAUAGAGUGCUAAACUCACUACCCUUUGUGAACUAUUAUACCUGUUGCUUCGGCGGCGCGCUGCUCUUAGGGGCGCGUGCCCGCCGGUGUUCAGUAUCUCUUGUUUUAUAUACAACUUCUGAGUGUUCCAAAAGCGAACUGUUAAAACUUUCAACAACGGAUCUCUUGGCUCUAGCAUCGAUGAAGAACGCAGC